rnacentral:rRNA from 1 species
GUCGAGGGAGAAGCUAUCUUCGGAUGGUGGAGACCGGCAGACGGGUGAGUAACACGUGGGAACAUACCGAGUAGUGGGGGAUAACAGUUGGAAACGACUGCUAAUACCGCAUACGCCCUUCGGGGGAAAGAUUUAUCGCUAUUCGAUUGGCCCGCGUUAGAUUAGCUAGUUGGUAAGGUAACGGCUUACCAAGGCGACGAUCUAUAGCUGGUUUGAGAGGAUGGUCAGCCACACUGGGACUGAGACACGGCCCAGACUCCUACGGGAGGCAGCAGUGGGGAAUAUUGCACAAUGGGGGAAACCCUGAUGCAGCCAUGCCGCGUGUGUGAAGAAGGCCUUCGGGUUGUAAAGCACUUUCAGUUGUGAGGAAAGUUUGCUGGUUAAUACCCAGUAGAUGUGACGUUAGCAACAGAAGAAGGACCGGCUAACUCCGUGCCAGCAGCCGCGGUAAUACGGAGGGUCCGAGCGUUAAUCGGAAUUACUGGGCGUAAAGCGCACGCAGGCGGUUUGUUAAGCUAGAUGUGAAAGCCCCGGGCUCAACCUGGGAAUAGCAUUUAGAACUGGCAGACUAGAGUCUUGGAGAGGGGAGUGGAAUUUCUGGUGUAGCGGUGAAAUGC